rnacentral:lncRNA from 1 species
UUUUUUUUUUUUUUACAGUACAGUAAUGUAAAUGUAUUUUCUCUUUUUAUUUUCUUAAUAACAUUUUCUUUUCUCUAGCUUCCUGUAUUAUAAGAAUACAGUAUAUAAUACAUAUAACAUACAAAAUAAUAUGUUAAUUAAGCCUUAAACCAGUAACAAUUCCAGUCAACAGUAGGCUAUUAGUCAAGUUUGGGAGUCAAAAGUUAUACAGGGAUUUUUGGCUGUUCAGGGUCAGCACCUCUAACCCCCAUUGUUCAAGGGUCAACUGUAUACACUUUAUAGACACACACACACACACACACACACACACACAUAUAUAUAUAUAAAGGAAACUAUAAAACUUUAUUUUGGGGGCACCUGGGCGGCUCAGUCCAUUAAGCACUUCAGCUCGGAUCAUGAUCUCCAAGUCUUGGGAUUGAGCCCCGGGUUAGGCUCCCUGGUUAGAGGGGAGUCCGCUUGUUCCUCCCCCUGCUCAUGCUUGCUCACACUCGCUCUUGGCUCUCUCUUCCCCCUCUCAAAUAAAUAAAUAAAAUUUUCAAGAAAUAAUAAAAUUUUAUUCUUAAAAGUAAAAAGAUAUUUAAAUAUAUAGUAUAUCAAUUCCCUAGAAAGGAUGGCUGAACAUAAUGGUCUAUCUCUCUUUGAAUUAAUAUCCUUUGCAAUAUGACUUCAUUGCUAUUCCCAUUAAAAAAUAUAGUGUAUUCCCUUAUUCACUUGUUUUGCCAACAGCCCAACAGAAGGGACACUGUAAAUUCUAAGCCAGUUUUAAGUAUGUACUUCAGAAGUCCUUGCAAUUCUGCUACCUUGCUUAGAUCCCUGAAACUGUCAUUUGAAUAAGCCUAGCUAGGUUAGCCUGCUGCAGGAUGAGAGAGAUACAAGGCCUAAUUGCCCCCAAUGCCUCAGCCAAGAGCUCAUCAUCCUCAUAAACACAGCCAUCUAUAGUUAAACAGAUGAACACAAAUGCAUAAGGGAGCCAAGCUGAGAUCAUAACCAUCCAGUUGAUCCCAGCCUAAUGUGCUGAUCCAGAAGAUGGUGAGCUAAACAAAUGGUUGCUGUUUUAAGCCAUUAAGCUUUGCUUAACCUUAGGAAGUUUCCUAUACAACAAAAGACAACCAAUAAAUCUACCUAAGCUUUUUAGAGACUUAUACUAGGCAACUAGCUAGAUUUUUUGAUUGAUUAAGUGAGUGGUAACAACCAGAAUAAAAUCAAAUGACAAUGACGGAACACCAGAUAAUAGCCAGGCCUCUGCCUAUACAUCCUAAACGAAAGCUUUCCGGUUGAUACAACUCACCCACGUAGACAGAGGUCUCAGUCAGGCUUCCAUUCAGAAAAGAAACCUAUCAGAAAUAUAUCUAUCUAUUCAAUAACAGAGAAAACUCAUGUCAGCUUCCAGUAAUCAUCAAUGUAUGCUUUAUUCUUAAAUAAAAACAAGUUUGAAGAAUUUCCAAGCAUAUGAGGAAACUGGGAGCAGGGAAGAAAAAGAAAAAAAAAAAAAACUAAUUUCAGAGAUCAUUCCCAAAGAUUAUCAGUCUCAAAGAAUAUUCAGGAAAAAGAAAAUGUAAAAAAUUAAAUUCUAACUAGUAUCUUUAAUAUUAUAAAACAUGAACAGGAUGCCAUAGAAACAAAGAGCACUAAAGGAACAGAGUUCCUUGAAAAUAAAUAUGACUGCUAAAAAUAUUUUUCAAAAGGAAGAAAAAUAAAGACAAGGACAUUUCUUAGAACACACAGCAAAAAGAAAAAGAAAAAUAUAGGAGAACAAAUGAUAGAAGAAAUGGAGAGUAAGACUAAGAGAAGUUCCAGAGACAGAAAAGCAAGAAAAUAUAGAAAAAACAAUCCAAAAAAAAAAAAAGAAGAAAAAACAAUCCAUGUGAGACAGGAACUCCUCAAAACCCUAGAGGAGAACACAGGCAGCAAUCUCUUUGACCUCGGCUGCAGUAACUUUUUACUAGACAUAUCUCCAGAGGCAAGGAAAACAAAAGCAAAAAUAACUACCGGGACUUUAAAGGGUUUUGCACAGCAAAGGAAACAAUCACCAAAAUUAAGAGGCAAACUACAGAAUGGGAGAAAAUAUUCACAAAUGACAUAUCAGAUAAAGGGCUAAUAUCCAAAAUCUACAAAGAACUUAUCAAACUCAACACCCAGAAAACAAAAAUCCAGUCAAGAAAUGGACAGAAGACAUGAACAGACAUUUCUCCAAAGAAGAUAUACAAAUGGCUAACAGAUAUAUGAAAAAAAUAAGAUCAAUAUCUAAAUAUAUUCUUUAGAUUUCUGAGCAUGAGCUAUAUAAAUUAAAUAUCCUAAAAUCUUCCAGAAAGGCAAGAAAUAAGCAGGCAUCAGGCUUCUCAGGAAUAGCACAAAAUUCUAGAAGGCAAUGUAGCAUGUCUUCAAAAUUCUGAAGGAAGAUGCUUUGAAUUUAAAACUCUAUACCAUAGGUCAUUCAAAUAUAAGGAUCAAACAAAAACAUUUUCAGACAGGUAAGAUUUGUUAUUAGGCAAUGUUCUGAAGAUACUGAAAAUGUUAUUCAGUAAAAUGAAGUGAGAAACAAAGAAAACACUGGAUCUAAGAAACAGAAGAUCUACCCCAGAAACAUAGCAAAGGGAAGAUCCUGAAUGACAGCUAUGCAGCCAACCUAAAGAGUAACAGAUCCCAAGUGGAUCAGAAAGACAAAAGGAUCUAAAAGGACUGUCACCGGGAAGCCCCGGUGGCACAGCGGUUUAGCGCCGCCUGCAGCCCAGGGCGUGAUCCUGGAGACCCUGAUGAGUCCCACGUCAGGCUUUCUGCAUGGUGCCUGCUUCUCCCUCUGCCUGUGUCUCUGCCUCUCUCUCUCUCUCUCUCUCUCUCUCUCUCUCUCUGCGUCUCUAUGAAUAAAUAAAUAAAAUCUUUAAAAAUAAUAAUAAUAAAUAAAUAAAUAAAAGGGCUGUCACCAAGAAGAUUUUAGAACCCAAUAUGACAGAGAAAGCAGAUAAUUUUCAGAAUGAAUAUAUCUUACUCUUUUGUCAAUUAGAAGGAAAAACAAUUAAGUCCUAACUCUAGAAGGAAAAACAAUACAUAAGAAAGUCAAGGUACAAUUACAAAGAAAAUUUAAAUGCUAUAUAAUUUUAAGAAAUUUAUGUAGUAGAAGAAAAAUAAUCAAUUUUACUUUGAUCCCAGAAGCAUUAUCCAUAGGGUGAGGCCUCUGGACAUAGACAAAAGAAAUGGAAUCAUAAUAUAUACUAUUUUAUUCUGUAUCGUAUAAUCAUAAUAAGUUAAAUAGUUAAAUGCUGUUUACUGAUUUUACCUUUUAGUAUAAAUUGAAAGCAUGGAAGAGUUAACUACAAUUACAGAAAGUUUUUAACACUAAUAGCAAUUAUUUACAUAGUAUUUAUUAUGUACCAAGUCCUGUUUUAAAUGCUUUACAUAUAUUAAAUUAUUUAAGCAUCAUAAUAAUCUUGUGAAAUAAGUUACUCCCCAUUUUACAGUUGGGGAAAAUAAGGCACAGAAAGAUUAAAUAACUUGCCAGUUCAUACAGCUAUAAUGUCAUAGAACCUGGCUUUUGAAACCAGGCAGCCUGGCUCCAAUAUCUACAUUCUGAACCACAACUAUACUGCCUUCUUUAAAUAGAAUAUAAAUAUUAUCGACUGAUAAUUUUAAAGUCAAUAGAUAUCUGAUAGAAGUUAAAAGGCCAAAAGGAGGUAAAAGAGUUGAAGUAAAGGAUAUGAAUGAUAACAUCCUCACUUCAUAAAACAAGAAAUAAGAGAUAAUGCUAAAAGCUAAUGGAACAUAGAGGUUUAAGUAUACUAGAAUUGCAAAGAUAGAGAAAAGAACAUCGAUAAUAUAUAACUAUAUAAAAUUUGAAGUAGCACAAGAAUAGCGUAAAUG